GGGUGCGAUCAUACCUGCACUAAUGCAGCGGAUCCUAUCAGAACUCUGCAGUUAAGCGUGCUUGGGCGAGAGUAGUACUAUGAUGGGUGACCUCCUGGGAAGU
rnacentral:rRNA from 1 species